AGGAAGGAAGGAGGGAAGGAAGGAAGGAAAGAAGAAAGUUCAGAAACCUGAGCAUAACCUCAGAAAUGUUGAGUCAGAAUCUCUGGCGUUGGGACUUGAGGAUUUAAUUUUUAAAAGCUCGCUUUGUGAUUCUUUUGGGUUAGUCAGGUUUGGGAACUGCUGACCCAGACUUGUAUUCCAAACCAGUGCAUUGUGUCACUGAUGCCACUAAUGCCUCAUGUGUCUUUGGUCUCUCACGAAUGCCUCACUCUACUUGAAGAACUAGAAAAAGGAAAUAAUGAGAUCCAUAAGGAAGUCUUAUAUGAGAAUCCUACCAUCCCUACUCACGAAGCCACCCGACUGCUUGUGUCUUACCUGCAAGAAGAGAAAACCAUAUUAAUCACCACACCAGGACCUGGAAAAGGCUGAAAACAGGUGAGAAAGCCGAUGGUGGAGUGAAUUGUCCAAGGACUGACAGAGAGAUCUGGAACUAGAACCCACACAGUUUGGUUCCUGGGACUCUGUUUUAUCCAAGAACCUUGCACAUAAUGGCCCCACUUUGUGCUCUCUGCUUCCUGCUCUUCUCAAACUAGAAAUGGCUUGCAAAAGUUCCAGAGUGAAAGGUCAGAGUGACUGGCCUGAGCCACCUCAGGGUGGCUUCUGCCUGGUGAAUGGCUGCUGUUCCUCCUGACCCCACAUAGCUGUGCCUCUCACUGGAAACCACUGCUGGGGUCCAGCCUGACCCCAGUGGCAGGGAAGGGAGGUGGCUGUUCCUGUUGGCUGUCUGAGCUGGGCAGUGGGCUGCUGGCCUAUUCCUGGGGCCUCCAGCAGACUUGUGAAGAGAUGCUGCCAAAAUGGAAGAGUCAAAACAGCCCCCGGAGGUGGGAGAGGAAGCAUUUAGAGAAGGGGUAAACAAGAGAAGCGACAGACUUCUCACUGCAGCAAAAGGCACUGGGGUUUACUUGUGAAACUUCACUCCUCCUCUUCCCCCAGUCUUAAAUUUAUAAAGCUGGUCCAGCUCCAAGAGAUGACCCAUGAUUUUAAAGUCAGAGUUCUGAGGACCAUAUUGGUCUUGCUGUGUUUUGGCACCCAGGGUUGGUGAUGUCCUGACUUAAAUUCCAGCUAACAGUGGAGACUAAGCCAGCCGACUGACUCCAGUGUCUAAUAUUAGUUGUAUUGUUACUAUUUUUAUUAAUAGCUAAGACUUAUGUAGUAUUCACCCCCAUCAGGCAUUGUAUUAAGCCUUUAACUGGCCCUCCCUAAUUCUUUGUCUUCACAGCAGGUCUCAGAAGUGGCUACCCUUUAUUUGACCCAUUUUAAAGAUGGGAAAAAUCAAGGUAUUUAGAGGUCCAAUAUCACAUAAGCAAUAAGAAAAAGAAUAAAGCUUUGAAGCUUUGAGCUCAGGUU